UCUCAGCAACAUGAAGAUAGCUACACACAAGGUUCGCCAAAACAUCCCGAACCUUUCGGUCGGAGCAUGUCGAACCAUACCAACGGCCGAUCAGGACAGUUUUGACAUGAAAAAUGGAACACCAAUGAGGAGAGAGAACAAAAGAGAGGAAAAGAGAGACAAAGAAGGGGGAGAGAAGGAGAGAAAAAGGCCGGAGAGGCCGUUAAAAGCUACCGGAGGGCCACUGAGGCCUCCGGAGCUCCGCGCUCCGUAGAAAGAAAAAAAGAGAGAUCGAGAGAGACAAAGAGAGGGAGAAGGGAGAGACAGGAACAGAAGAAGCGGG
rnacentral:lncRNA from 1 species